GAUGAAGAACGUAGCGAAAUGCGAUAAGUAAUGUGAAUUGCAGAAUUCAGCGAAUCAUCGAAUCUUUGAACGCACAUUGCGCCCGCCAGUAUUCUGGCGGGCAUGCCUGUCCGAGCGUCAUUUCAACCCUCGAACCCCUCCGGGGGGUCGGCGUUGGGGAUCGGCCCUUUCACCGGGUGCCGUCCCCCAAAUACAGUGGCGGUCUCGCCGCAGCCUCUCAUGCGCAGUAGUUUGCACACUCGCACCGGGAGCGCGGCGCGUCCACGUCCGUAAAACACCCCAAACUUCUGAAAUGUUGACCUCGGAUCAGGUAGGAAUACCCGCUGAACUUAAGCAUAUCAAUAAGCGGAGGA
rnacentral:misc_RNA from 1 species